rnacentral:rRNA from 1 species
GAUGAACGCUGGCGGCGUGCCUAAUACAUGCAAGUCGAGCGAACAGACGAGGAGCUUGCUCCUCUGACGUUAGCGGCGGACGGGUGAGUAACACGUGGAUAACCUACCUAUAAGACUGGGAUAACUUCGGGAAACCGGAGCUAAUACCGGAUAAUAUAUUGAACCGCAUGGUUCAAUAGUGAAAGACGGUUUUGCUGUCACUUAUAGAUGGAUCCGCGCCGCAUUAGCUAGUUGGUAAGGUAACGGCUUACCAAGGCAACGAUGCGUAGCCGACCUGAGAGGGUGAUCGGCCACACUGGAACUGAGACACGGUCCAGACUCCUACGGGAGGCAGCAGUAGGGAAUCUUCCGCAAACGGCGAAAGCCUGACGGAGCAACGCCGCGUGAGUGAUGAAGGUCUUCGGAUCGUAAAACUCUGUUAUUAGGGAAGAACAAAUGUGUAAGUAACUAUGCACGUCUUGACGGUACCUAAUCAGAAAGCCACGGCUAACUACGUG